rnacentral:rRNA from 1 species
CACGUGUUACAAUGGCAGGUACAGAGGGGUGCUACCGGGUGACCGGAUGCCGAUCUCGAAAACCUGUCCCAGUUCGGACUGGAGUCUGCAACCCGACUCCACGAAGUUGGAUUCGCUAGUAAUCGCGCAUCAGCCAUGGCGCGGUGAAUACGUUCCCGGGCCUUGUACACACCGCCCGUCAAGCCAUGGGAGCCGGGGGCGCCUGAAGUCCGGGACCGCGAGGACCGGCCUAAGGCGAAACUGGUGACUGGGGCUAAGUCGUAACAAGGUAGC